rnacentral:rRNA from 1 species
AGUGAACGCUGGCGGUAGGCCUAACACAUGCAAGUCGAACGGCAGCACAGUAAGAGCUUGCUCUUACGGGUGGCGAGUGGCGGACGGGAGGAAUACAUCGGAAUCUACUUUUUCGUGGGGGAUAACGUAGGGAAACUUACGCUAAUACCGCAUACGACCUACGGGUGAAAGCAGGGGAUCUUCGGAUCUUGCGCGAUUGAAUGAGCCGAUGUCGGAUUAGCUAGUUGGCGGGGUAAAGGCCCACCAAGGCGACGAUCCGUAGCUGGUCUGAGAGGAUGAUCAGCCACACUGGAACUGAGACACGUUCCAGACUCCUACGGGAGGCAGCAGUGGGGAAUAUUGGACAAUGGGCGCAAGCCUGAUCCAGCCAUACCGCGUGGGUGAAGAAGGCCUUCGGGUUGUAAAGCCCUUUUGUUGGGAAAGAAAAGCAGCAGGUUAAUACCCCGCUGUUCUGACGGUACCCAAAGAAUAAGCACCGGCUAACUUCGUG